GCUGUCAUGCUACCUUUGUCUAGUUACUAGUAAGUGUUAGUUUGGAAGUACUGCACAUACUUCUAUUGGCUUUUAAAUUAAGCAUGGUGCUUAGGUUAAACAGCCUUCCUUAAUCUGAUUAGACAUGGAGUCUAGUUCGGUAAUUGAACUAAAAACUGCUUGUGUAGACAUUGGUAUAUUUUUGUCGGACUAACCCCUGCAGAAAAAACUUUCAAUAUCGAUUUGGGAAGUCCUGAGAUAAACUCACAUCAGAGACAAAGAGAGUGACACAUGAAGUUUAACAAUUUGCACAAGAAGGACAUCGCUCAUUCAUCAUAGAGAGAUGAUCCAUGGAGGGUGCCACAAACACGAUGUACAACCGCUAAGAAAGGAAAGCUUCCACAAGGUGAGACUGUACCAUAACUCUUCAAGUAAGGUAACAUCUUAAGGUAUGUGACUAUCACUUUUAUGAGCUUCUCCUUGGUUCUGGCGUUCACAUAAAUAAAGAGAAAAACAUAUAUGAUUUAUAACUCCAAAUUAACCAACCCAACUGAUUCAACAUGUUUAGUCCUUUAAUCCUUCUUCUUAGUACUACCUCCAUGAUCCCACAAUCCUAAUCAUAUGAGCUAAAAUGUUACACAUUCAAUCAUUGAGAGAUAUAAAGAAAAAGACAUAUACAUGGAUAGAUUAUCUUUCCAUAAGGUUGAGCGAUCCAAUCUGACAAAUGUUAUAAGUGCUACACUCAUGAACUUUUCAUCCAUCAACUUUGUCUUGCUCACUAUGCUUAGGGUUAGAGAAGAACAAAUACACUUUAGGUUCUGUUGGUGUUUUCCACCAACAGGACCCAUGCACUUGAUCUCUGCCUUGUCUCUAUGAGCAGGUACACUUCGAGCAAAACACGGAGGAGUUUUAUAACUCUCAGACUCUACCAAGUGAAGGACCUGGAUCUACGAGCACAAACACACUGAGCAGGAUACUGCCAACGCCGCACUUCGAACUGUUGGGCAAACGAAGAGGUGCAGACAUCAAGGUCCGCACCUGAAUCAAAUGACGCACCUGAAGAAUGAACACGGUGAGAAGUCUUGUUAAGAAGACUUAAAACAUUGAACCCUCGCCGAAAGGUAAGAUCGGUAGUUAUCCAUAUUUAUCCUUUCUGCAUUCCCUUUUCCCUUUAAUUAUUUACUUUCCUUAAAUAGAUUAUUAGUUAAAUCAUGCUAUCUUGAAAAGAAAAUAAAAGUGUUAAAAAAUACUAAGCCCCAUGUGAGUAUACGAGUGGCAUAAAACCCAUAACUACCUUCACUGUGGUGGCAUAAAAAUAAAAUAAAUAUUUCUUUUCUGCUUUAUAAAAUAAAAAUAUAAAAACAGGAAGUAAUAUUUAUUGAGGAAGCUCAACAUGAUGAAGGCUAGAUAUUUAUGCUAACACUUAAUUAGUUCCGCAAGCUUUGUUGUCUAUUUGAGCUCCACAGAAUUUAAGAAUCAAGAAGACUAGCAGACGGAGGACAUUCUAAUCGCUGUCAGAAUGCUGCUGACUUUCAAAUACACCUCUGCCACCUGCUAGCUACAUCAAGAGAAAUUAUGUCAAAAUUCAGCUUGAGGGAGAGCACCCCCAUUUAUCUCGCUAAGUAUUUCUACCUAUCUUUAUACUUAUAUUAUGUUAGAACAUUAAAAUACAUAAACUAUGAAAAACCAAAUAAAGAUUUUGUGCUUAUAUAUAUAUCUUUUGCUUAGUGUGUUUAAUAAAUAAAUAAAGUGGCUAUGCUAAUAUGAAUCUUAAUAAUAAAACUCUAGCAUGGAUAUGAUGAAUAGUUGCUCUGCCUAAUUUGCAAAUUUGAAGUUCUCUCUCAAGUUUAGACAUAACUGUUAUAAUUUAAAGCUUGCUCUAGAUCUAAACUUGUGGGAUGAAAACUUGAUCUGAAAUCUAAGUUGUUAACGGAUAUGAUAUGGAAAGGUUGAGCUGCUGUUUAUCUGUUCCUAGAGAUGCUAGAAUUCUGGAGAAUUUUAUAUUUGAAAAAUCUUUAAAAUAUUGCAUGAUGAGUUCCUGUAUGAUGAGAGUUUAAAUUCCUACCACAGCCAUAUAUACAUGCUUGCUAGACUUUGAGGCACACAUUUAUUAUUUACUGCUUAUGAGCAUUGAGUGUGGUCAAGCUGUGUAGACCCUUAGGAGCUUGUCAUGUGGUUAAAUCAAGAUUCACUUGCACGUUCACUCAUAUAUGCUACUUCUACUUCGGAAGUACCAUUCACAUAUAUCCAUCUAUGUCCAUCUCCAGAACCACCCAAAAAUAUUCUACUCCUAAUCUGGGAGAGAAUAACCAAAAAUAUUUCUGUUUUCCCUUGUGAAAUAAAUGCUCAAGUUAUCUUGCUACUACCACUUGCUAUAUUAUCUCAAGAGAUGAGUGCUCUGGAAAAAAAGAAAAGAGAAGAAAAGAAAAAAAAAUAAUAAAUAAACGAGGAAAUAAAAAGGGGCAAGUGCCCGGAACCUCGAAAAAAAAGAGUGAGACGAGAGGUAAAAAUGGACAAGUGUCCGACAGUAGAAAUAGGGGUACAAGAUACCCACCUGAGAGGAAAGAAAAAGAAGAGCAUCUCAUUCUCCUCAUAAAGUUUCAAAAAGCAAGGAAGGUAUGUAUCCCCUCAAAAGAGCAAAAGUAGAAUUAGACUUUCACCAUUGUUAUCACCAUCAUCACCAUACACCAUUCAUUCGCCACACAUGCACAUCUUGAUUUGGCUUAUUGAUUUGUUUCUUUGGAUCAAUGGUUUGACUAUACAAUAAAUGUCUUGUAAGUAUGUAUACUUUAUCUCCCACCUAUGAGCUCCAGAUAUUAAAGCCUUAUUAGAGUAGGAUGAGAGAGAAGGCAAUGUCACUAUGCCUUAUACCACAAAUACCACAUAUCUUGAGAGAAGGCAUAUACCAUCACUGCCUUGGUAAGGAUCCAGAAAUACCACAAAAGAGAGAAUUGAGAGAGUCAUACAAGGAAUCUCUGAGUUUUAUUUGAAAAUCUGUAAAAACUCCAGAGCUAUAGCUGAUCAAGAAUAAGAGACAUGGCACUUGGCUAGACUGUUCUAUCUUUUAACUACUCAAGACAGAAGUGACGAUUACAAGUCCCAUGGUGAAAGGUAAAGUAAGUAAGUUUUAGUUCUUGACAGUUUACUCUAACUCAGAGAUGAGGUCUUAUUUAAAAGCAUGUGUACCGUCAAAUUUUUAAGAUAUUGCUACAACUUCUGAUCCAUUGCUGAGUCUAUCCUUGCUCAGGGGCGAGCAAGAGGUAAGCUUGGGGGAGUUUGUUGACAGUCCUUAAGUAUCAAAUUUAAUUAUCAAAUAAACAAAGAAAAGGAUACAAAUGAAAUCAACAUCUAGACUUAGGGUUUUAUCUGACAGAAUUCCACGAGUUUUGGUGUUUGUCUAUUUCUGUAGGGGGUUAUCAGGAAAUACGAAAGAAAGGCCCACACGUCGGGAUUACAUAGAGAUAUUAACGUGCCGCGCAAUUAUCUUACAUCUAGAAGACUCCAGUAGCCACGGGAAGAAAGCGGAGGCCGAGAGGGGCCAGAGGCAGGGCGCCCGCCCUGUUUCCCUGGUCGCCCGCCCUCUGUUGGAGUCCAAACAGGACUCUGUUUCUCGGGAGAUCUCCACCGACCUAAAGGAUCAAGGAUAACCGUUCAAUCUAUGUCGGUUUGAUCCAACGGCCCAUAUUCACUUGAGGGGACUAUAAAACCAGACCCCCUGGCCCC
rnacentral:lncRNA from 1 species